UACGGAGGGUGCAAACGUUGCUCGGAAUCAUUGGGCGUAAAGCGUACGUAGGCGGUCCAGCAAGUCGGGUGUGAAAUCCCUGGGCUUAACCGAGGAAGUGCAAACGAAACUACUGGACUUGAGUACUGAAGAGGGUCGCGGAAUUCCCGGUGUAGAGGUGAAAUUCGUAGAGAUCGGAAAGAACACCAACGGCGAAAGCACUCUGCUGGGCCGACACUGACACUGAGAGACGAAAGCUAGGGGAGCGAAUGGG
rnacentral:rRNA from 1 species